GACAUCUUUUGCCUUCUUAUUUUUUCUUUUUAUAAGCAUUAUCACUGACCAAUCUAAGGUCAGGAAUAUCCAGAAUAUCGGAGUUUUUCUUCGGUAUGAAUCUAAUUUGCAAGUUCCUCAACCAAUCCACAUAGUUUGGAUCAGUCAAUUUAUUAUCAUCUAUGAUGUUAUGCAGCGAAAAUAAAGAAGCCAUAAUGCGGAAUGAAAUCUACAUAGAUAAAGAACAAUAAUAGAAGCAAACCACUCAUGUUUGACAUGCAUAACUUGAUGAGGUUUUUCAACUAGUUAUGUCUCCCACUAUUUUAUCGGAUACCAUAGCC
rnacentral:lncRNA from 1 species